AGCGUAGACGGAUGGACAAGUCUGAUGUGAAAGGCUGGGGCUCAACCCCGGGACUGCAUUGGAAACUGCCCGUCUUGAGUGCCGGAGAGGUAAGCGGAAUUCCUAGUGUAGCGGUGAAAUGCGUAGAUAUUAGGAGGAACACCAGUGGCGAAGGCGGCUUACUGGACUGUAACUGACGUUGAGGCUCGAAAGUGUGGGUAGCAAACA
rnacentral:rRNA from 1 species